rnacentral:misc_RNA from 1 species
AGCAGCCGCGGUAAUUCCAGCUCCAAUAGCGUAUAUUAAAGUUGUUGCAGUUAAAAAGCUCGUAGUUGAAUUUCGAGACCGGUUUAUUGGUCGUGCUUUUGUACGUACUGGUAUUAUUGGUUUCUCCUUUCUGACGAACUAUAAUGCCAUUAAUUUGGUGUUAUGGGGAAUCAGGACUGUUACUUUGAAAAAAUUAGAGUGUUUAAAGCAGGCUCACGCUUGAAUACAUUAGCAUGGAAUAACGGAAUAGGACGUUUGAUUCUAUUUUGUGGUUUCUAGGAUCGACGUAAUGAUUAAUAGGGAUAGUUGGGGGCAUUAGUAUUCAAUUGUCAGAGGUGAAAUUCUUGGAUUUAUUGAAGACUAACUACUGCGAAAGCAUUUGCCAAGGAUGUUUUCAUUAAUCAAGAACGAAAGUUAGGGGAUCGAAGACGAUCAGAUACCGUCGUAGCCUUAACCAUAAACUAUGCCGACUAGGGAUCGGGAUGAUGUUAAUUUUUAAUGACUCAUUCGGCGCCUUACG